UGACCGUAAAGACUGUGCUGCAAUCUACGAUCCCGCUUGCCCAGUUUUGAUUAAUUUUUGUGUUGCCUCAGCGAAAGGGAAAAGAUUUCCGGAAUCCACAGUAGAUUUUUCUGUCUGUGCAGGUUUUCCACUCGCUUGUUUCAGCUCAUCGGUCUGAGAAAAUUGAUUUCGUACCUACAAGGAAAAACUGAAGCCAGUGAGGAUAUUUUAAGAUUAGAAAAUUUCAUUGUAAUGAAAGAGCAUGAAGAGUGUCUUCUUUCAUUAGUUACUCAGCAAUAUAAUAAAUACAACAUACAAGUUAUUCUUGCUGCCCACUUUAUUUGGACCAUUGGCUGGUAGUUACAAGAUUGGAAUCAAUGGCUUCCCAAAGAAUGCAAGAUGUCCUAGAUGUAACAAGGAUAUUAGUGAAGCAGUACAAAAUACAUCACUUGGUAAUGGAGAUGUAUGGCAUGGAUAUGCAGAUAUACUUGUGAAUAGAUGUUUAGUCAAGAUAGGGACUGAA